UAUUACAGGUUUCUGACCUUCCAUGUGUAUGCUGGCUUUAUAGAAAAUAUGGUAUGGUGUUACAUGAUAAAUUCUUAAAGCAACCAUGUAUAAUCUUAAUUUUAGAUAUGGGAGCCAAACAGAAUGUGUGGAUGGAUCGUCCCCUGACACUUAUAACCCUAAUUUACAAGGCAGCAACACAAGAUGUGAAGAACAUGUGGCUUGGAUCAAUGUUCCUGCCAAGUGGAAAAUGGUAUGUAUGUGUCAGAUGAGUGCCUGUAAACUUCCAUUUGCUUCUUGGAGAUGACUCAAAUAUUUUUGCCCAAGACAGACACAGAGAGAUAUUUUAAGUCUUAUGAGAUACUGGCCAUAAACCGAAAUAAUAAUAAAAAACGUUAAGGCCUGAAUUUAGU
rnacentral:lncRNA from 1 species